rnacentral:tRNA from 1 species
GUACCUAUACAGCUCAAUUGGUAGAGUAUUUCGCUUACACCGAAAAUGUUAGCGGUUCAAGUCCGUUAUUAUUCA